rnacentral:rRNA from 1 species
UAAAGUUCUGGGUAGAUAGAUGAUUUUGACAAUUUCUACCCAUUAGUCUUGACCAAGUCACGUGCCAGCAGUCGCGGUAAUACGUGGAAGACAAGUGUUAUUCAUCUUUAUUGGGUUUAAAGGGUACCUAGACGGCCGAUAAAGCCUAAAUAUAAAAAUUAGAGGGACUAAUUGGCUAGAGUUUUAUGUGAGGAGGAUAGGGUACGAAGAGCGUAGAGAUGAAAUUCAAUGAUCCCUUUCAGGAACCGACAAAGGCGAAAGCAAUCUUUUAUGUAAAAACUGACGUUGAGGGACGAAGGCUCGUGAAACAAACAGGAUUAGAUACCCUAGUAAUGUGGGCAGACAAUGAUGAAUGUCAUAUGUAAGUAUAGUAUUUAUAUUAUAAACAUUUAUAUAGGUUUGUAUCUGUAAUAAUGUAAGUUUAGUAUAAAUAAAUUUAUGUAUAAAUGAAAGUGUAAGCAUUCCACCUCAAGAGUAA